rnacentral:rRNA from 1 species
UACAGAGGGGGCAAGCGUUGUUCGGAAUUACUGGGCGUAAAGGGCGCGUAGGCGGCCUGUUAAGUCGGACGUGAAAUCCCUCGGCUCAACCGGGGAACUGCGUCCGAUACUGGCGGGCUUGAAUUCGGGAGAGGGAUGUGGAAUUCCAGGUGUAGCGGUGAAAUGCGUAGAUAUUGGGAGGAACACCAGUGGCGAAGGCGGCUCACUGGACCGGUACUGACGCUGAUGCGCGAAAGCGUGGGGAGCAAACGGG